rnacentral:lncRNA from 1 species
CCUGGCUCAGCUGACCCCUUGGUUCCUGUGUCUGUUCCCUGCUGGGCUGUCAAAAGCUGAGUGAAGCAGUGGUCCAGCUGGAAUUCAACACCUGAGAUAUCUGACUCCAGAUACCAGCCCUUCCUUGCUUCCCACUAGCUGCCUAACCCAGAGAGGAGAUUGGGAAAAGAGAAACAAGUUACAGAAUUCAAGAGUAGGUAUCAUCUGGGGUCUUCCUGAAGGAACAAGUGUUGCUCCAGAGAAGCCAGAAAUUCUUAUCUCUGCUUUGCUCUAACCACCUCUUUAGGCUUUAUGACUGAAGAGUCCCUUUGGCCCCUUAACUCCACAAGGCUGAC